CAACGGGAGCCAUGCUUUUACUCCUCGGUUUGCUCAGAGCCUGAUGAGGAGAGGCUAAUAUACUUGUGUAUGGCAGUCCAGACUGCAGCAUCAAGCUUGGCUUUGUAUUUGUAUCCAUUCCAUGCAGUCACUAAAAGAGAGACAACCGGCAGGCUUGUGUCCAGAGACUUGUCUUCCACCUACACCUCACCAGAACACAAGGCAGAAAGGUACAGUGCAAGAUAGGGGAGAUGAGGC